rnacentral:lncRNA from 1 species
GGCGGAGAUGCUAAUAUUUACCCCAAACUUCAAGAUUGACAUGAUUCAUAUGAUAUAUAUUGUGUGUGUUAUUUUCCAGUUCAUUAAGAUAGGUCAGUUUGCCAAAUAAAGGCUACAGAUGUAUACCGCUGUUCAAACCUAUAAAUGAAGCUAAAUCCGAAAAUCGCAGUAAUCGCGGACAAAUAAGCAGCUGAUUUAAAUCGGUUAAAUGACGGUUCUAUUUGGUCCGUUUUGGCCUUUGUUCUCUCAUAUGUUUUAUUUUUCAUUUUUCUUUUUUUUU